rnacentral:rRNA from 1 species
GACGAACGCUGGCGGCGUGCUUAACACAUGCAAGUCGAACGCUGAAGCUCAGCUUUUGUUGGGUGGAUGAGUGGCGAACGGGUGAGUAACACGUGAGUAACCUGCCCCCUUCUUUGGGAUAACGCCCGGAAACGGGUGCUAAUACUGGAUAUUCACUGGUCUUCGCAUGGGGGUUGGUGGAAAGGGUUUUUCUGGUGGGGGAUGGGCUCGCGGCCUAUCAGCUUGUUGGUGGGGUGAUGGCCUACCAAGGCUUUGACGGGUAGCCGGCCUGAGAGGGUGACCGGUCACAGUGGGACUGAGAUAAGGCCCAGACUCCUACGGGAGGCAGCAGUGGGGAAUAUUGCACAAUGGGCGCAAGCCUGAUGCAGCGACGCCGCGUGAGGGAUGGAGGCCGUCGGGUUGUGAACCUCUUUCGCUCAUGGUCAAGCCGCACCAAUGGUUGUGGUGAGGGUAGUGGGUAAAGAAGCGCCGGCUAACUACGUG